rnacentral:rRNA from 1 species
AUGGUUUCUGAGGAAAUCAAACCAAAGAAGCAAAGAGAUGAGGAGUGCAUUAUAAACUGUCUCCCAGGAGAACUCAUUGAGCGGAUAUUUUUUAAGCUUCCAGUGAGCACUUUGUUGAGGUGCACUGGUGUUUGCGAGCAAUGGCACAAAAUCAUCCGAGGUCCCCAGUUUGUCACAUCACACCUCCAGCAUGCACCCCAUUAUGCCCUUCUGUUCUUCCCACAAGAGUCGGUCUCAGGCGAGCCCCAUCCUGCUGAUGCUAUCCUGAUUGAUGAAGCCUGGUCGCUGUCGACAUAUGCAGUGCCAGUGAUUGGGCCUGAUGAUUUCCUUUGUGGUUCAUUCAAUGGGCUUCUUUGCUUAUACACAAAGUCAUCAACACUCAAGAUAGCUAAUCUUGCAACCGGUGAAUUCCUGCAUCUUGAGAAACCUGUAAAGAAUUUGAGGGGUGAUCACUUCUUGUUCUACAACUUUGGGUUUCACCCAUUGACAAAAGAAUACAAGAUUACACACUUACUUGGUGAUUCCAUCGAGGGUCGCCCUCGCCCCCAUAAUAAUAACAGAUUCAGCGUCGUUCAAGUUUACACGCUUGGUGAUGAGAAAUGGAGGGAUAUCAAAACUCCAGAAGCCCUAAGCUUAAACUGUGUAAAAAACUCUGGAGCGGUCACUAUUGACGGAACACUGUAUUGGCUAAUUGAAGACGUGGUAGCUAGCUGGCAGCAUGCAGUUAUGACCUUCGAUCUCUGUGGAGAAAGUUUUGCACAGAUACAACUGCCUGCAACUAAACCUGAAGAUUUUGCCGCUGGUGGUUCUCGUCGGUAUUGGAUCAGAGAGAUGGAUGGCAAGGUAUGUGUAGCGACUGCUCAAACCUGUCCUUCUCUGCCCAGAUGGCUUGUUGGUAAGCUGCAGAUCUGGGAACUUGAGAACAAAACAGAGCAAAGGUGGAUCCAGAAGUACAAUAUUCAGUACUCGCCAGAUUACAUUCCGGGUCCAAAUUUGGUUCAUGGGGAUAAGAUCAUACUGCAACGUUGCGAUGGCAACCUAUAUUCCUAUGAGUUGCUCGGGGAGAACUUCAAUACUGAACUGUGUAAGAUGGCAAAGCUGUUAGAUUUCAGUCCCCACAAGCCUGACAACAUGCAAUCCUAUAUCUGUGUGAAGUCACUUGUACGUUUAGAUGUAUACAAGAAGACUGCCAUUGUGCGUAGGCCAAAACAGCGGGAAGGCUGGGAAUUGAAGAAGUGGGAGGCGUGGGAGCAUGAGCUCUCUGAGAAUGAAAGAAUGUGGAGCGACACUCACCGAGAUGAGCACAAGGAAACUGCCCGUGCGCAACGCUAUCGCAUGAUGAUCAAUAAUCUGCUGCCGCAUAUAUUGGAUGAUACGAUUCGACAGGAAAUCAGCAUGAACAUCAAUCAAAUAUCUCCAAACUUUCCAGAUCAGCAGCCAAGGCCCAUCCGUCGGCUUAAUUGGGUGGCACAGAAGCAGGAUUUGCAAAAUUUAAAUGCUCGUAUGAAGAAAUAUAAUACUAUUAUGAAGGCUACGGAUGAGGUAACAAGUAGUAUCAUUAGUAUGAUGGGUGGUGCUAUAGAAGAUCAGAAGCGUGCUUCGAGUUCAAAUGCUGGCAUUUCUUCUCACAAUCUCAGCGAGGCCGAUGAUGAUGUGAAGACUUUGAUACCUGAGAGCCUACCGUGA